rnacentral:lncRNA from 1 species
AAUAAAGUAGACAAGAUACUAAUCCUUACGGAGCUCUGUGUCUAGUGAACAUGAAAAAGAUAUAUGAAUGAAACAUGGUUAAGGAAAGACACGGUUAGAGGAGAACUGAAGGAAAGAUAGAAACCCAUGCUGCCAGGAGGAGUUGGGAUCUUUUCUGUUGUGUCUCAGAACUUCAGGGUUAAGACCCUUCCUGGGUGAUGGAUAAAGGAAGUCAUUGUCCAGAUGAAAGACUUAUGAACUUGGAGACAGGAAUGAAGCCAUUGAAGCAACUUGGACAUCGGGAAUUCGCUGAGGACCAGACUAAAGAGGGGCUUGUUCUAAUAGAAAUUCAUCUAAAAAGUUGGAGAUUCUGUAGAAGAUCUGAUGAAGAGGGCCAAUCACUGAGGAAAAAUGGAUAGCAUCCUAAAACAGUGGGUAGUAAGGGAACCGGUAUGUCUGAUCUUUUAAAGGAAAGAGCAAUUAAAGAAAUCCUUACAGAUUCCUCCUGGCUGAAUUGUAGGCUCAAUUUCUUUAGAGUAUCUUCUGCUCCCAUCAAGCUUGCUGACACCUGUCUCUCUGAAUCA